GAGUUUGAUCGUGGCUCAGAUUGAACGCUGGCGGCAUGCCUUACACAUGCAAGUCGAACGGCAGCAUGAUCUAGCUUGCUAGAUUGAUGGCGAGUGGCGAACGGGUGAGUAAUACAUCGGAACGUGCCCUGUAGUGGGGAUAACUAGUCGAAAGAUUAGCUAAUACCGCAUACGACCUGAGGGUGGAAAGUGGGGGACCGGCAAGGCCUCAUGCUAUAGGAGCGGCCGAUGUCUGAUUAGCUAGUUGGUGGGGUAAAGGCCCGACCAAGGCGACGAUCAGUAGCUGGUCUGAGAGGACGAUCAGCCACACUGGGACUGAGACACGGCCCAGACUCCUACGGGAGGC
rnacentral:rRNA from 1 species